rnacentral:rRNA from 1 species
CCUACGGGAGGCAGCAGUGAGGAAUAUUGGACAAUGGGCGCAAGCCUGAUCCAGCCAUGCCGCGUGCAGGAAGAAGCAUCUAUGGUGUGUAAACUGCUUUUGUACAGGAAGAAACACUCCCUCGUGAGGGAGCUUGACGGUACUGUAAGAAUAAGGACCGGCUAACUCCGUGCCAGCAGCCGCGGUAAUACGGAGGGUCCGAGCGUUAUCCGGAAUCAUUGGGUUUAAAGGGUCCGUAGGCGGUUUAAUAAGUCAGUGGUGAAAUCUGGUCGCUCAACGAUCAAACGGCCAUUGAUACUGUUAGACUUGAAUUAUAAGGAAGUAACUAGAAUAUGUAGUGUAGCGGUGAAAUGCUUAGAUAUUACAUGGAAUACCAAUUGCGAAGGCAGGUUACUACUUAUGGAUUGACGCUGAUGGACGAAAGCGUGGGGAGCGAACAGGUAUUAGACUACCCGUGGUACGUCCACGACCGUAAACGAGUAGACUACUAGUCGUGUUCGGUAGAC